CAGCAGCCGCGGUAAUACGUAGGGUGCAAGCGUUAAUCGGAAUUACUGGGCGUAAAGCGUGCGCAGGCGGUCCGCUAAGACAGAUGUGAAAUCCCCGGGCUUAACCUGGGAACUGCAUUUGUGACUGGCGGGCUAGAGUAUGGCAGAGGGGGGUAGAAUUCCACGUGUAGCAGUGAAAUGCGUAGAGAUGUGGAGGAAUACCGAUGGCGAAGGCAGCCCCCUGGGCCAAUACUGACGCUCAUGCACGAAAGCGUGGGGAGCAAACAGGAUUAGAUACCC
rnacentral:rRNA from 1 species